rnacentral:lncRNA from 1 species
AAUUUUCUCAGCAUCAAUAAGAAAGCUGGUGGUGGUCACUUCUAGUAAAGGGAGUGCUUUACUGCUGUGGGCUGUUAUUUUUUUUUCCCUGGCUGCCUGUGUCCAGCCAUAGAGAUGUCAGCAUACUUACAAAAGCAUGGGCUCCACACUGCUGGGUUUUCAGCAGGGGGAAGUAUUGUCAAUGCAAGAUACAGCAGAAUAGGGAUACCCUAAAAAAAGGGAGUAAUUUGACAAUACCAACUCAGAAAAAUGCCUAAGAUGAAUUUUGGCAGGGCAGUAGCAGAUGUCUGAUGAGCCUCAGUGCACUGUGGAUGAUAUAGUUUGUCAAGUCAUAGGUGAAACUUCUUGUCUUUAAGUCAGAGAUGAGAAAUUCUGGGCCUUUCAACGUGGGAGAGCUGAAUCUGUCAAAAUAGUUUCAUUUUGCAUCUACGAACUGUGAAAAGACCUGUCUUCCUUUUUUUUUUCUUUGCUUGUAGUGUUUCAUCUCACCCCAGCCUUCAGUUGCAUGUAUCUCCUUGCUCAGAAGGCACUGGGUUUUCCAGUGAAAAGGUGACGUUUCAUUGCCACCCUCUGCCAGGUCAUAGCAGAGGAGACCAAAGGGAGCCAGUGGCCUUCUUCCUCCAUGAAGGGUAGGCUGGGGGCUGGUGACACUGAGAAGUGAAGACCCCACUAGUGCUCACCAGGAAAGAAGGGGAACAAAUCUGGGAGUGGGUACAUGGGGCUCCCUAUCCACCCAUGCAACCCAAGAGAGUGCCAGGCUUCUCCUGGCAGCAGAGAAUGUCACAUCCCUGCCCCGUGUGGAUUUUGCAUGACACAGGUGCAGCUGGUGAAGCCUUCAGUUGUUCUCCUGCUCACCUGGCCCACCAAAAGCACCAGGGAGCAGCCAGACCUGGCCAGAGCUGGAGCGUGAGGCUAGUGACAAAGAUGAAAGUAAAAGGAGGACUGUCCUGCCUCAUCCCAUGCAGGAUAAGCAUUUCUCAUCCCAUGUACUGUUCCUGUGGGAAAAACAGCAUAUGGUCCUGCUGA